AGCUUUGCGCAGUGGCAGUAUCGUAGCUAAUGAGGUUAAUCCGAGGCGCGAUUAUUGCUAGUUGAAAACUUUUCCCAAUACCCCGCCAUGACGACUUGAAAUAUAGUCGGCAUUGGCAAUUUUUGACAGUCUCUUGCGAGA
rnacentral:snRNA from 1 species